rnacentral:rRNA from 1 species
AACGAACGCUGGCGGCAUGCCUAACACAUGCAAGUCGAACGAAGCCUUCGGGCUUAGUGGCGCACGGGUGCGUAACACGUGGGAAUCUGCCCUUCGGUUCGGAAUAACAGUUAGAAUGACUGCUAAUACCGGAUGAUGACGUAAGUCCAAAGAUUUAUCGCCGAAGGAUGAGCCCGCGUAGGAUUAGGUAGUUGGUAGGGUAAUGGCCUACCAAGCCGACGAUCCUUAGCUGGUCUGAGAGGAUGAUCAGCCACACUGGGACUGAGACACGGCCCAGACUCCUACGGGAGGCAGCAGUGGGGAAUAUUGGACAAUGGGCGAAAGCCUGAUCCAGCAAUGCCGCGUGAGUGAUGAAGGCCUUAGGGUUAUAAAGCUCUUUUACCAGGGAUGAUAAUGACAGUACCUGGAGAAUAAGCUCCGGCUAACUCCGUGCCAGCAGCCGCGGUAAU